AAGUCGUAACAAGGUUUCCGUAGGUGAACCUGCGGAAGGAUCAUUAACACGUAUCCAACGUUAAACCCCCCGUGAACCUUCAGAGCGUUCUUGCCGCCCGUGACAAUCAGCAAUCCUGGUAAAUCAAGUGGGAAUAUCCGUUAUUGAUACAGGACCUCUGCUGUCAUGUGUUAGGGAAACCAUAGCGGCAAUUGAGAGCUUUUAUCGUUAGUUUGGCGUCCUGGCCGGGCGAGUGAAAGUGUCGCUAGACGGUUUCUAGGGUAAGGCUUCGCCAUCGCUGGAGGCUCACCACGUAGCCGGCGGACAAACUACAGGGCUAUAUGCCCCCUAAUGACGACCAAGUUAAAUAGGGCCUCUGUCACAUAGCAAGUGCGCCGUGCCAGAGGAAAAGUACAACUGUUAACAAUGGAUAUCUUGGUUCUC
rnacentral:misc_RNA from 1 species